GCCAGGUGUGGUGGUGCACACCUGUAAUCCCAACUACUCUGGAGGCUUAGGCAGGAAGAUCACAAGAUCAAGGCUAUU
rnacentral:sRNA from 1 species